rnacentral:lncRNA from 1 species
UGGGCAAGUCACUUAAACCCUGUUUGCCUCAGUUUCUUCUUCAGUAAAAUGAGCUACAGAAGAAAAUGACAAACUACAUCUUUGCCAAGAAAACCCCAAAUGGGGUCAUGAAGAGUUGAACACAACUGAAAUGACUGAACAACAACCUGGACUCCUCCAUCAAUGAAAAGGAUGCACAGGGCUCUCUCAUUCACUGCUAUUUCAUGAUGGCCCACUGAUUGCUGGGAAGACAGCUGGAGUCCUUCCAUUGAAGAGCAAGCUGACAGACACAGCCCUCUAGAGAGACCUAGAAAAAAUAAGUUUUUCCCAGCGGUGGACCUAUUUUGAAGCUCCUUUAUUGUUGAUCAGCAUCAAAGGAAUUUUUUCUGGAUGUAACUGUAGCUUCCUGAAGUGAUUUUCCAGCCCAAGAGAUCAGCAGUUAUGUGCUUACACAGAUGCCAGCAGUGCCU